AACAGUUUAAAAUAAAAGAUCUAGGUGAUGUAAAAUAUUAUAUUGGUAUACAUGUAGAGAGAGAUAGAAAGAAAGGAAUUUUAUAUCUAGAUCAGAAAAAAUAUAUACGAGAAGUCUUACAUAAAUAUGGCAUGUCUGAUUGCAAAAGUGUUAAGACUCCUAUAGAUGUUAAUACUAAAUUUAAAGAUGUGUCUAAAGAAUCAGGUGUACUACAUGACAUUCCAUAUCAGGAAAUAAUUGGGUGCCUACUGUUUAUUUCUCAGAUUACUAGGCCAGAUAUAAGUUAUGUUGUUAAUAUGUUGAGUAAAUAUAAUAACAAGCCUGAGACGUCACAUUGGCUAGCUUUGAAACGAGUCAUGCGCUAUUUAAAAGGGAGGAACAAUUUCCUGGAAUUCUAAACGUCAGCCUACUGUGGCUCUGUCUACCACUGAGGCAGAGUAUAUGUCGUUGUCGUCGUGUGUGCAAGAGGCUAUGUGGUUAAAACAGCUUCAAGAAUGUUUUUGGCCGGAGCUCAAACAUCAAGCAAUGAUAAUCUACAGCGAUAAUCAGAGUUCUAUAAAACUUUCAGGUACUGAUGGUUAUCAUUCCAGGACCAAGCACAUAGAUGUCAGGCACCAUUUUGUGCGUGAUAAAGUUAUGGAAGGACACAUUGAUGUGCAGUAUGUACAGACGGACAUGAUGGUAGCUGAUGCGCUCACCAAGGCAACACCAUAUAGAAAACUGAGAUAUUGUGCGUCCAAGAUGGGAUUGAUGUUUUAGGGAGGAUGUUGAAAAUAAAACAUCAUAGAAGUUUCUAAACUGUUACAUGUAAUAAUUUUUGAACGAUUGUUAAGUAGUUCCUAUUUUGCUCACUUGUGGCGCUUGUGUGUUCCUUUUUUCGCGGUUCCGCUUCUUGUCGCGUCUUGUCGCCAUUUUGCCUUGUAUAAUACGCUGUGCAAUAAAUGUACUAAACU